rnacentral:rRNA from 1 species
AAAACCCUACGGGGGGCAGCAGUGGGGGAUAUUGCACAAUGGGGGAAACCCUGAUGCAGCGACGCCGCGUGGGCGAAGAAGUAUUUCGGUAUGUAAAGCCCUAUCAGCAGGGAAGAAGAAAUGACGGUACCUGAGUAAGAAGCACCGGCUAAAUACGUGCCAGCAGCCGCGGUAAUACGUAUGGUGCAAGCGUUAUCCGGAUUUACUGGGUGUAAAGGGAGCGCAGGCGGUUUGAUAAGU